rnacentral:lncRNA from 1 species
UAGUCACCCUUCUAGACUUCAGACCACAGACAACCUGCUCCCCAUGUCUCCUGAGGAGUUUGACGAGGUGUCUCGGAUAGUGGGCUCUGUAGAAUUCGACAGUAUGAUGAACACAGUAUAGAGCAUGAAUUUUUUUCAUCUUCUCUGGCGACAGUUUUCCUUCUCAUCUGUGAUUCCCUCCUGCUACUCUGUUCCUUCACAUCCUGUGUUUCUAGGGAAAUGAAAGAAAGGCCAGCAAAUUCGCUGCAACCUGUUGAUAGCAAGUGAAUUUUUCUCUAACUCAGAAACAUCAGUUACUCUGAAGGGCAUCAUGCAUCUUACUGAAGAUCCACGGGGUAGGAAACUGCUCACUCAGCAUCCUCCCCAUGGAAGCUCAAGCAUGGGAACAGCUUCGGGCCUGGUGCAGCUAAGGAACAUUGGCCGUGGUUUCACCAAAGGAGGUGCCAUCUAGGUAAUGGGAGGGCAGUGGCAGGAGCCACUGGCUUAGACUGGAAGUGAAAAUGAAAGCACCUGGAGGCUGCUGGAGUAAGGUGCCAUCAGGCAUGUAAAGUUUAGAAGCAGCAGAGUGUGCUCAUAGAAAAAGAAAAAAAAAGGAAUUUGCUGUAUGUGAUAACAACUAACAUUCAUGUACUUGAGCUCAUUUCACUAAACACAGCUUCAGAG